rnacentral:rRNA from 1 species
UACGAACUGUGCGAACGUUAUUCGGAAUCACUGGGCUUACAGGGUGCGUAGGCGGCUAUUCAGGUCAGGGGUGAAAUCCUGGAGCUCAACUCCAGAACUGCCUUUGAUACUGGGGAGCUCGAGUCCGGAAGAGGUGAGUGGAACUCCGAGUGUAGAGGUGAAAUUCGUAGAUAUUCGGAAGAACACCAGUGGCGAAGGCGGCUCACUGGUCCGGUACUGACGCUGAGGCGCGAAAGCGUGGGGAGCAAACAGG